CCUACGGGAGGCUGCAGUAAGGAAUAUUGCCCAAUGGACGAAAGUCUGAGGCAGCAACGCCGCGUGCGCGAUGAAGGCCUUCGGGUCGUAAAGCGCUUUUCGGGGAGAUGAGGAAGGACAGUACCCCCGGAAUAAGGUACGGCUAACUACGUGCCAGCAGCCGCGGUAAAACGUAGGUACCAAGCGUUAUCCGGAUUCACUGGGCGUAAAGCGCGUGCAGGUGGUAGGGUAAGUCGGGCAUGAAAACUCUUGGCUCAACUGAGAGACGCUGUCCGAUACUGCCAAACUUGAGGGUGUAAGAGGGAGGUGGAAUUCCGCAUGUAGUGGUGAAAUGCGUAGAUAUGCGGAGGAACACCAGUGGCGAAGGCGGCCUCCUGGUACACUCCUGACACUCAGACGCGAAAGCUAGGGGAGCGAACGGGAUUAGAUACCCUGGUAGU
rnacentral:rRNA from 1 species